UCUUCACUAGUUUUUACACCUCCAAGCUCCAAACCACCAAACACGCAACAAACAGAGAACUAAGAGAAGAGAAGUUGCUUCUGUAGCAACUGAAAGAUGAAAAUGGAGGAGCACCAAGAAAGCAGCAAGAAGAGAGCCCGCAAAAGAAAAACGAGAAAACCAAUAACCGCUUCCGCUUCCGCUUCCGCUUCUCUCCCUUAACAGCACUACCACCAUAUUCCCUCUCUUACUAGCUGCAACAACGCAACCCUCCAACACUCAAAACAACACACCCAGUAAUAAUUUCGAAAUCUUAAUCAAUAAACUCUUAACCAAAUUACACCACUCUCUCCUUUCAAACAACUAAAAAUUUCCCAUUUCAGUCCUCUCUUUCUUUCCUAUCCUCAUGAAUUCCAAGUGUGCAGCAAUUGCGUGUCGAAGUGCGGAUAUUGUUGGGUUGGCUUCGCUGGUGUCAAUGGAAAUGAAUGAACUGGUUUCUUUGGAUGUGGGGACCGUGAAAGGUUUGAUCUUGAUGUUAGUGAUUAGAAAAAGGAAACUUUCAGUGGCUGCUUGUGAUGCCCUUCUGGAUUUGUCCACUACUUUGAUUGGAAGACAAAGGUUCCUGCAUCUUCGAUAUUGGUUUCUUUAUAUAAUGAAGAUGGGAGUAGUAUUGCCUGUGCCAGGAUAGCUUUUAAAGAAGAUAGACAUUCAGUGUCACUUCUUCACACUUCUAUUACUUUAAUUAAUACUUGCAACAUUGAGCAAUUGGAAAAGAUCCCAUCGAAGCUGUCUGAAAAAUUCUUGGAUUUUAUGAAAAGUUUGUGGGAAAAAGUGCACAAUCAGAUGUUACUUGGCAAUGCUUGGAUGUCCUUUCAAGAGAGGGAUUUAAAUUUGAGCAAUGUUACAGUUAACAAUCUGGCAGAAAGUAUUUUUAGCUUUUCUAUUAAUACCAGUGAAUUUGUGAUUCCUUUGCCAUCUGUGUUAGUUGAAAGAAAGAUCUUUGAUGGAAGUGAGCAAAGUUUUGAAAAUUUCAUGUUACAUCACUGGGAACCUCUCCUUCUCAUGUAAGAAGGCUUUCAGGGUCCUUAAUUGAGGAAGAUGACAUUUUUAGUUCAAUUGCACAAUCUCUAAACUGAAAGAAGCAUCUCCUACCUUUGUUUCAUCUGUGCUUCAAAGUUUUGUUUCAUGUGUACCUAUUGCUUCAGAUGAACUGAACAUCUUAAGUUUCCUGGAGGAGGUGAGAAGUGAAUUGGGUUGUCCUAUAAUCAACCAGCAGGACAUAUGAGUACUAAGAACAGAGCACCCUUCAAAGAAAGAGGUGCAUUUCUUUCAAAAGAAAUUUGAUCCAUCCUGCUUUAGGAAACAUGCUUUCAAUGCUAUGGAUAUUAUGAAAUGUGAAGAAGCAUUUAAAGAGGGCUAUACAAUAGCUCUGAGUUUUGGCUUACAAGUAUUGCAGCUCUUGCAAAUGCUUACAAGUAUAUACUUGACACCACCUAAUUCUCAGGGAUGGGAUCGUCACUGUGAUGACCACUGUGUGUUUGUAUGCCAACUCUUUGGAACCAAGCAAUGGACAAUCUAUUAACAACCAAAUUUGCAGUUACCUCGCUUGUAUGAUCCUCUUGAUAGAGAACAAUGUUUUGUGGAAGAAAACUCUUUGGCUGGAUAUAGAAAGUUCCUGUUGAGGGAAGGUGACAUUUUGUAUAUUCCAAGAGGCUUUCCUCGCGAGGCAUGUACACAUGACCGUGGGUCUAGUGAUUUAGCCAGAUUUUCCUUACGUCACAUUUGGUAUUGAGGUGGAACCUCCUUUUGACAGGAUGGCAUUAAUCCCUUGCACCUCUCCCCUAGAAGACAGAUACACGUAUGACCAUUCAAUGAACUACUGAUUUUAUCGGUUGAUAAUAUCCAAGUGUAUCCUCACCUACAUGACCCCAGCAGUUACCUUUGACUGACAAUAUCUGCCAAGGGCCAUUGAUCCGUUGGAGCUAGGUGGGAGGGCUUUGCACAUGUUGCACUCCAUUGCUGGUAUCAGACCCAAAAACAGCUGCAUCGUGCUUCAGUUGAGCCAUUGUCUGGAAUUCUGGAUCUGAUGCCCGUGACUCUGUUGCAUGUAAUGAUUGAAUUAAUUGGGGCUUCUGAUUCUACCUUGCGGGAAGCUUCCUUAGUUGGUGCUCAUUUUUUCCUUUGGAAGCCAAUGAUUGGCUUAAUUUGGACCAGAAAACCACAUUCAACAAUAUUAUUGAUCAAAUUAAUAAGGCAUCGAGGUUCUUGGAAGUAUUCAGUAGUGUGGAAGUAGCUAUUGAAACGAACAAGGAUCCUUUUCAUCGGAUGAGGUGGCUCAGGCUUCUCUAUUAGGAGACAGAAACCAUUCAAGAACAUGAUUGGAAUUUAGCUUUCUACGAAUUUCAAAAUUUAUUUCCUUCAUGUGCUCAAGUUAAAUCUAAGUUCUGUGAUGAAGUGUUAUUUGAGGAUGUGAUUGAUAGCUACUAACUACUACUCGAGAAGUACAAGAAAGCCAUAUAUGAAUGGAAUGCGCUCGCUACUUUGUAAUGUA